CUAGCCUACAUUUUGUAGUUAUUAUGGAAAUUCAAAGUCAAGCAAUGGAGAAGACGAAGAGAAGGCCAAGUCUAAUGGUGGAAAGCUUCUCCUGGGUGUUAUCUCCAUCAACGGGAGAGCUAAUUUAUAUAAGCUCAAAGCACCCCAAAGAAGAGACGAUGAUAAUGAAGAUGAUGAAUUCUUUUCUGCAGGGAGUUGUUUCUCAAUGUGUUCGAGUGGUGGUGCAAGCAGAGAAGCAUUUAUGUCGACCAAGUCGAACUUUUCCCAUUGUUGGAG